AAAUCGGUAAAAGCAACAGGUUCAUUUAAGCCCAGACAAGUUUCAAGAAUUAAGAAGAAGAAAAGAAUACAGGAAGAAGAUCCAAUAUGCAGACCCCUUUAAUAACAAGCAGCCUACGAGGUAUGUGUAUUUUCGUCGAGUUUGUGUCGCGAUUAACACCUCCUAGCUUAAAUGAAUGAAGCGCUAUGCAUUACGCGCCUAAAUUUCUAUGCAAUGAAAACGUUAAUAUUGUGCAGUAUAUGUGUUUUUUACACGCAGUUAUGCAUGGGUUGGGAAAUUCGUAGUAUGAUUCGAAUUUGAUUAACUAUUUUGUGUUCUAUGGCGUGGAAGCUACAUUUAUGAUAACAGCCAUUUCAUUCAAUUUAUUGUGUAUUUGUUUCCACUUAUCUUCACAGACUACUCACAGGAUUGGUCUUAGACCCCGUAUUUUAAUCAAGAUCUUGUGACUCAUGCUGUUAUUGGAGGGAGCUGCAUCAG